rnacentral:lncRNA from 1 species
AUGGCAACCGUAGAGCAAGGGAACAGGGAAAGGGCAGACACAAGUCCAUUCACAUGGCUGCCAGCGCUGGGAACCAAGGCACAGAGGUGCGCUGUCCUUCCCACUCUGUCCAGUUCCACUGCACCUCCCAGUGUGACUCUCACUUUGGAAGAUGGGAUGGAGCUGAAGGCACGUGCUGAAGGAUUCAUUCAGACGAUUUGUAUGGCAUGGGGACAGUUAAGAGGCAGCCUGCAUUUCUCCUGCGCCCGAGGACUGACGCCCAGUCCCACAAGCCAACGGCCAACAGAGCAGGACGUAAAUUCAUGCUGCUUGGCCAGGUGGCCUGACUUACAGCUGCUCUAACAGCCCGGCUGCCUGAUGUAAAUGACAGGCUCUGAACGGACUGCCUCUUGAGGUGAGCUGUGCUUGUCAGAGUGCGAUCAGUCAUCCUGUGUGUGUUUGGUCUUUUGCUGUGUUUUGGAACACCGAGCAGCAAAAGGCAAUUGAAAAGAGGAGGCAGGUGAUUAGGGGCUGACAGGGAUGUCUUGCAAAAGAGGGAGAGAACAGAAAAGCUCGGUCUUGCUAUUUUCAAGGGUGACAGGAGGAGUAGGAGUGGGUGAUAGGACAUUUUGGGAUCCACUAGGACUGUUUAGGGGCAAGAGAAGGGGGAGGCCUUGUGCGAGAGGAGGGAAGGGAAUGUGGGAGAUAAUUGAGAAAUGGCAGAGGUGGAAAGUUUCCUGAAAACACAGGAGAAGUAGGGAGCAUGAGCUGCUUGACAGCAGCCAUGGGAGGAGUGUAGAGCCAAGCCUGCGCUGGAAAUUCAUGAGUGGAAUAUCCCUGCUUUAAAACUUGUAUUGCAUUCCUGAAGAAGAAUACAUGGAAGAUAAAAAUGCCUUGCCAGACAUGGCAGUCAUGUACGUGUGUGCUUUUUGAGGGCUUUUUCUGCCAGGAGGCAAGAGGUCCUAAGGAUGCUAAAUAAUUAAAGUCUUCUUAAGAAGAAAUACAGUUGUCAAAUAUGAGGAGGUGUCGUGAGCAUCACCUGCAGGGGGCACUUCUGGAAGACAGCCUGUGGAAGUUCAGAGGGAACAGGUUAUCCCAGUUUGUUGGCAUGGGGCAGAAUAAGGGGAAAGCUCGGGCUGUCCUGAGUUUCCCUGUUCGUGAGAUACGUUUGUUUUCCGCUAAGUAACAGUUCAGUGUGUGAAAGAAGGGAUCUUUUAUUAUAAAAAUUGCUGUGGAGGAAAUUCCAGAUGUUUAUGAGGUGAAGUGAUAUGGUUGAUACACUGUGACCCUCAGCCUGGUCUGAGACUAGGGAGAUUUCAUGACUGACUGUCCUCUCCAAAAAUAGAGUAGGUCAGUCAAAGCC